UGGGGAAUAUUGGACAAUGGGCGAAAGCCUGAUCCAGCGACGCCGCGUGAAGGAAGAAGUCCUUCGGGAUGUAAACUUCUGAACUAAUCGAAUAAAAGGGUAGUGGACACACUACAGAAGAAGGUAGAUUAGGAAAAGUCCCGGCUAACUACGUGCCAGCAGCCGCGGUAAGACGUAGGGGGCGAGCGUUGCCCGGAAUCACUGGGUGUAAAGGGGACGUAGGCGGAUGAUCAAGUCAUCUGUGAAAAGAUUGCUCAACGAUUGGCUUGCGGAUGAAACUGGUCAUCUUGGGCGUAGCAGAGGUAGACGGAAUUACCUGAGUAGGGGUGAAAUCCGCAGAUACAGGUAAGAACGCCGGUGAAGAAGUUGGUCUACUGGGCUACAGCUGACGCUGAGGUCCGAAAGCCAGGGGAGCGAACCGGAUUAGAUACCCGGGUAGUCCUGGCUGUAAACGAUGCUCACUAGGUGUAGGGAGCGAAAGACUCUCUGUGCUGAAGCGAACGCGMUAAGUKAGCC
rnacentral:rRNA from 1 species